rnacentral:rRNA from 1 species
AUCUUUGGCCAGUACACCCUGGACACUCCCGAUCUCAUCUGAUCUCAGAAGCUAAGCAGGGUCCAGCCUGGAUGGGAGACAUGAGAAAACUGAAUAUUUUUAAACGUUUACAGAAGAUA